CAUCCUCUAAAUUAUUUAAAUCCUCUAAAAUUAUUAAGUUCUUAAAAUGAUAAAGUUAUGAAGAUAACUGAGUCAUAGCCUCCCAUUAAGGUGUUUGAUAAUGAGUCCAUUAACUCAAUAAUCAUUGCAGACCCAAAGGCCUGGUGUUUGUUGACUAAUGAAAUUAUCACUCAUCAUAUGACGACUUGGAAGUAUCUCUCUAAUGAUGGUUAGGUGAGCCAACCAAAGUUGGGCUUAAUCAUUCAUUGGUUAGAUGCACCAAGUAUGGUCAUGUUAAUGGUUGGACCU
rnacentral:lncRNA from 1 species